AACCUUUGCUGUCUUGGGACGGAUCACCGCUGCAAGAGGGGAAGUUGCUACUGUGAUGAAUUCUGCCAUGUGGCACCAGACUGCCACCCAGACCACAGUGUCCUCUGCAACCCUGGUAACUCACAUACAGGCCCGAUUCCACCUACAGCAAAGCUGGAUGCGAUGGCUGGCAGAGGCAAACCCUUUGCCUGCACUUCAGGCCAAAGCCGGGAUGUGGCCUAGAUGGUUCCUAAGGUCCCUGACAAUCCUGAGAUCUUGCAUCUUGUCUAUUUCAGGUCAAAGCUUCUCAGAUGACCAAGAUGGUGCUGCAGAUGGUGCUGAGGAUGGAGAACCCACCAAGCCCCGCUAGGAGCCACCUAGACUGGAUGCAGAGCAUGGCUAAAACCUUUGAAGAAGAAUUUAUUAUAUCCUACAAACCUGGGAGGCAGAGGUUGCAGUGAGCCAAGAUUGGGCCAUCGCACUCCAGCCUGGGCAAUAAGAAUGAAACUCUGUCUCAAAAAAAACAAAAGUUGGCCAGGGCUGGGCGUGGUGGCUCACACCUGUAAUCCCAGCACUUUGGGAGGCUAAAGCAGGUGGAUC
rnacentral:lncRNA from 10 species